UGGCUAGUCGCUAUUAUUGGCCUAUGUGAUUCCAACAGCAGGUAUCAGGACUGAACCACGCUUCAGAUAACUUUGGCUUAGGUUCCAAAAAUUGCUAAUCGCCUUCCUCGAGGCAUAAUGCCUCGCUCUGGGUCCAUUGCUGUUGAGCAUCAAAAUGAUAGUAUUUUUACGCCGGAACGUACAGACUAUCUGAUGCAAGGGCCAUCAUUUUGAGACUGCCACCCGAGGACGAUUCAACGAGGGUGCGCCAUAGGUUACAACCCACAAGCACACGUUUGCGCCUAUUGAUAGAGCUGGAUGGCGUCAGACUUACAGUACCGCCAUCUCGAUGAUUUAAAAACGGCUGUUCGGGCUACAGCAGCAAGUUCCCCCCUUCCCCACGCGACAUGGAAUGCGGUUCGUUGAGGCGGGUACAAGCUCAGAUAUCAGGAGUUAGUUCUAUAGAAUUCUCGUCUACAGCGCCAACUUCGUUUGUUCGAACCCCUUUACCAAGUUAUCAAUUUACCUCUGUUGCCAAAAUGGACUUGCCAUAAGCCUGCACUUCUUGAGCUAGGAAUUAUCUUGUCCUUUACUGGCUGUCUGGCUGCCAUGUUAUAUUGUAGUUCUAAUGAGGGGGUUGACAUGGUUUAUGGUCAAAACCACGCCGAAGGUUAUUCCAGCCCCAAAAAUUAACCAUGUUCAACUUUUAAUUAACCACGUUCAACUGUAUGCCCCUAGAUAGCUAACUGACUGUUUAUUCAUUAACUGUAUAUUCUCUUAUUUAAAUUCCAGAUUCUCUCUGUUUAUCUCUUACUAUGACUUUUAGACACUGCUUCCUCUAUAAUGAGGGUCUGGAGGGGUUACCCCCCAGCUAAGAAAAUGUGGAAUUAAUGGUUCAUUUGCCCCUGGGAUUUAGCAGCGUGCAGGCUACCCCUAGCAUAAAUACUG
rnacentral:sRNA from 2 species